AUCGAGACUAGAGUCACACCUGAACAUGUUGGGUUGUCCUGGUGUGCUAUAGUUCUCGGACAUUAACAUCUGAUCCAUAUUCACUGGCUGUGAUGUCUCAUGUCUCAGCCAGCCACCGAAUCAGCAACACUU
rnacentral:snoRNA from 1 species